GCCAGGUAAGGGCACAUGCCUGUAACUCCAGCAACUUGGGAGGCUGAGGCAGGAGAUUUGCAAGUUUGAGGUCAGCCUUGACCAUUUAGUGAGACCUCAACAACUUAGCAAGACCCUGCCUCAA
rnacentral:sRNA from 1 species